GGAAGGGGUGUAUUUAUUAGAUUAAAAACCAAUGCCCUUCGGGGCUCUCUGGUGAUUCAUGAUAACUUCUCGAAUCGCACGGCCUUGCGCCGGCGAUGGUUCAUUCAAAUUUCUGCCCUAUCAACUUUCGACGGCGGGGUCUUGGCCAGCMGUGGUGACAACGGGUAACGGAGGGUUAGGGCUCGACCCCGGAGAAGGAGCCUGAGAAACGGCUACUACAUCCAAGGAAGGCAGCAGGCGCGCAAAUUACCCAAUCCCGACACGGGGAGGUAGUGACAAUAAAUACUGAUACAGGGCUCUUUCGGGUCUUGUAAUUGGAAUGAGUACAAUUUAAAUCCCUUAACGAGGAACAAUUGGAGGGCAAGUCUGGUGCCAGCAGCCGCGGUAAUUCCAGCUCCAAUAGCGUAUAUUAAAGUUGUUGAGGUUAAAAGCUCGUAGUUGAACCUUGGGCCUAGCCGGCCGGUCCGCCUCACCGCGUGCACUGGCUCGGUUGGGUCUUUCCUUCUGGAGAACCGCAUGCCCUUCACUGGGUGUG
rnacentral:rRNA from 1 species